AAUGAACGCUGGCGGCGCGCCUAAUACAUGCAAGUCGAGCAAGAAGACGUAGCAAUACGUUUGUAAAGCGGCGAACGGGUGAGGAAUACAUGGGUAACCUACCCUCGAGUGGGGAAGUAACUAGCCGAAAGGUUAGCUAAUACCGCGUACGCUUCUUGGACUUCGGUUCAGGGAGGAAAGCGAUACCGUGGGUAUCGCGCUCUUGGAUGGGCUCAUGUCCUAUCAGCUUGUUGGUGAGGUAACGGCUCACCAAGGCUUCGACGGGUAGCUGGUCUGAGAGGACGAUCAGCCACACUGGCACUGCGACACGGGCCAGACUCCUACGGGAGGCAGCAGUAAGGAAUAUUGCGCAAUGGGCGAAAGCCUGACGCAGCGACGCCGCGUGGGGGA
rnacentral:rRNA from 1 species